UUUUCAGCUCUGUUUAAAGACAUCAUCCAUUCCAUAUUUACAGAGAUAUCUUAUACAACAUUCAUUCCUUUGACCAGUUUGGCUUACAUCAAACCAGUUAUUUUAUCUCUUUUAAUUCUUUCAACGUAGGAGACAUUGAAA